GAACACGUAGCCCAACGGCAAGAGUACCGCAUUUUUAUGCGGAUGGACGCGGGUUCGAUUCCCGCCGUGUCCA
rnacentral:tRNA from 1 species